AUGGUGAAUGGAUGGAAAGAGAGAACUCUCUCAUUCGGAGGCAAAGAGGCUUUGCUGAAAGCGGUGGCCCAAGCCAUCCCAACUUAUGCGAUGGGUGUAUUUAAAUGCCCGAAGAAAAUUUGCAAGGGAAUCACUGAUGCAAUGUCGCAAUACUGGUGGGGUGAUGAGGAGGACCAACGAAGGAUGCAUUGGUUUGCAUGGUGGAAGAUGUGUAUUCCGAAGGAG
rnacentral:rRNA from 1 species